UGGGGAAUAUUGCACAAUGGGGGAAACCCUGAUGCAGCGACGCCGCGUGAACGAAGAAGGUAUUCGUAUCGUAAAGUUCUGUCCUAUGGGAAGAUAAUGACAGUACCAUAGAAGAAAGCUCCGGCUAAAUACGUGCCAGCAGCCGCGGUAUUACGUAUGGAGCGAGCGUUGUCCGGAAUUAUUGGGCGUAAAGGGUACGCAGGCGGUUUAAUAAGUCGAAUGUUAAAGAUCGGGGCUCAACCCCGUAAAGCAUUGGAAACUGAUAAACUUGGGUAGUGGAGAGGAAAGUGGAAUUCCUAGUGUAGUGGUGAAAUACGUAGAUAUUAGGAGGAAUACCAGUAGCGAAGGCGACUUUCUGGACACAAACUGACGCUGAGGUACGAAAGCGUGGGGAGCAAACAGG
rnacentral:rRNA from 1 species